rnacentral:rRNA from 1 species
GACAGAGGGUGCAAACGUUGUUCGGAAUUACUGGGCGUAAAGCGAGUGUAGGCGGUCUUGAAAGUCGGAUGUGAAAGCCCUGGGCUCAACCCAGGAAGUGCAUUCGAUACUCCAAGGCUAGAGUACUGGAGAGGUGGGUGGAACUGCGAGUGUAGAGGUGAAAUUCGUAGAUAUUCGCAAGAACACCAGUGGCGAAGGCGGCUCACUGGCCCGAUACUGACGCUGAGGCACGAAAGCGUGGGGAGCAAACAGG